CCUACGGGUGGCAGCAGUGGGGAAUAUUGCGCAAUGGGCGAAAGCCUGAUGCAGCGACGCCGCGUGAAGGAUGAAGGGCUUCGGAUCGUAAACCUCUGUCAACAGGGAAGAACGGUCACUGUGCUAAUCAGCAGUGAAUUGACGGUACCUACAAGGGAGGCACCGGCGAACUCCGUGCCAGCAGCCGCGGUAAUACGGAGGGUGGGAGCGUUAUUCGGAUUUACUGGGUGGAAAGCGCGCGUAGGCGGCAUGUGAAGUCAGGGGUGAAAUCCCGGCGCUCAACGAGGGAACUGCGGUUGGAACUGGCAAGCUGGAGUGUGCGGGAGGAAAGCGGAAUUCGUGGUGUAGCGGUGAAAUGCGUAGAUAUCAGGAAGAACACCAGUGGCGAAGGCGGCUUUCUGGAGCGCAACUGACGCUGAGGAGCGAAGGCGUGGGUAGCGAACAGGAUUAGAUACCCGAGUAGUC
rnacentral:rRNA from 1 species